GCGCUGUAGGCAAGCCGUUCGGUAGCCGCGGAUGGUGCAGAGGAAGCUGGCGUUUGUUUGAUUUUAUCAUUGGGGGGCUCUUGAGAUUAAUACGAUUAUUUUGAUCGGUAAGCCAUUUAGAGAUGCUCUGUUUACGUGUGACACCAGAUAUGGCCCGUGGGCACCAGAAGUUUCAGUCCCAGCAGAAAAAUGCCAAAAAGCAGGCGGAGAUAAAGAAGAGCAAAGGGCAUGACCAGAAGGCAGCAGCCAAGGCUGCCUUGGUGUAUACCUGCACUGUAUGCCGGACACAAAUGCCUGAUCCUAAGACCUUCAAGCAGCACUUUGAAAGCAAACAUCCAAAAUCUCCGAUGCCCCCGGAGUUAGUGGGCGUGGAGGCGUAAAACACUCACCUCUCCUAAUGAGGCAGUUGAAGCUUAUUCAGGACAAACCCGUCAACGUUUCAGACAGACGGCAUUUCAUAAAACCACUCCACCAUCUCAGGUCUCCCACUGUGGCAGAGUCGGCUGCAAACGUCUCUGCUUGGCAAAGUUCUGAUGAUUGAAUCCAGGGUGUCCCUUAGCGGUUGUGGACAGAUCAGUUGGUCACGCAUCAGGUUUGGGUUAAUCGCUAUUCUACAGAAUAUUUGAAUUCAUUAUGUGUUUGGAAAGAUAAAUGUUUUUUCCCUUUAUUUCCAAGCUGCACUGAUUUUUGUUCCUGUCUGGAGAUUUUCAUUAGAGUCUAGUUUGUGUUUGUUUGUUUUUUGAUAUGAGGAAUACGUUGAAGACACUGUGUUAGAUGAGAUCUCCCUGUCUACCCUGAAGAUGUUCUUAUAUUGUAUAUAGUUUACUUCCUGUGAGAGUUUGUGCAGAAAAAGAUGAAUAGAAGACUGAAAGUUUCUCACAGCAAACCCCAACCAUGCAAAGAAAUCGUCUGACCUCUGCUGCAUUAAUGGGCAUCUCUGGUUCUCAAGCUGUGUGGCAUACAUAAGCACAACUAUACUUCUGAUCAUUUAUUUUUGCCAGGGAGUUGUGCAGCAUAAUAAACUGUCUUUAAAGUCAUCCAAUAACAUGGGGGGAAGUGCAGUACCUUCUUCCGUUUACGAUUGUGGAAAGUGUCCCAACUCUAAACCUGCAUUAAAAGUCUGAAUUGCAUUACACUGUCAGACAGCUUCACUUCUUAUUUAUCUAUAAACCUCAUAUCGUGUCAAACUAACUGACUUGAUUUAUAGAAAGGACAUUUUUGAACAUGUAUGGACUUUCUGCUAUUGAACCUCUGACAUUGUAUCACUGUGCUAUAAGUCUGAACUGAUAACCUGCCAUGUUUUUACUUUUUUAAUAAUCAUAUCAUGUCGGCGUAAUGUAAUGUUUAGUCUUUUAAUAAAGGUCUUUUAUAUCAGAUCUUCA